rnacentral:rRNA from 1 species
GAGUUUGAUCGUGGCUCAGAUUGAACGCUGGCGGCAUGCCUUACACAUGCAAGUCGAACGGCAGCACGGGAGCUUGCUCCUGGUGGCGGACGGGUGAGUAACGCGUGAGGAACCUGCCUUUCAGAGGGGGAUAACGUCUGGAAACGGACGCUAAUACCGCAUGACAUCAGAGGGUCACAUGGCUUUCUGAUCAAAGGAGCAAUCCGCUGAAAGAUGGACUCGCGUCCGAUUAGCCAGUUGGCGGGGCAAAGGCCCACCAAAGCGACGAUCGGUAGCCGGGCUGAGAGGCUGAACGGCCACAUUGGGACUGAGACACGGCCCAGACUCCUACGGGAGGCAGCAGUGGGGGAUAUUGCACAAUGGAGGAAACUCUGAUGCAGCAACGCCGCGUGAGGGAGACGGUCUUCGGAUUGUAAACCUUUGUCCUCGGUGACGAUAAUGACGGUAGCCGAGGAGGAAGCUCCGGCUAACUACGUGACAGCAGCCGCCGCGGU